rnacentral:lncRNA from 1 species
AAAAGUUCAAUAAUAUUUAUAUUUAUUCCUCUGUUUUGUUACCGUCAGAGCACUAAUUUUUUUUAAUAGCUGAUAAUUAAAAAUAAUAUUUUUGUCCUUAUAAAUAUAUCCUUUCAAAAGUCCUAACAGUUAAAAUUAUACGAAAAUAUCCUCCCAAAAGGUAUUUUAUCUAAUAAUAUAAGAGAGGUAAAAAAUCAAUUUAACUUAUUCACUAACCAAUUAAAUAUUUUACUCAUGAUUAACUAUAUUUUUCUAACAGAUCCUAACAGUAGAAAUAUAUUUGAAAAUAGUAGAACUUUUUUAGGAAUAAAAGUAAAAAAUUAAAUUUUAUAAAAAUAUAUUUACUAUUCGAUAUGUUUACAGAAAACUGCAUGCAAUUAAUCCUAAAAAUAAAAUC